ensembl:lncRNA
GGAGAAUCCACACUGUACACUGGAGAUACUGAAGCUGUGUAGGUGUAAUCUGACAGAGGAAAGCUGUAGAGUUCUGUCCUCAGUUCUCAGCUCAAAAUCCUCCAGACUGAGAGAACUGGACCUGGGUUACAAUAACGUGCAGGAUUCAGGAGUGAAGCUGCUCUCUGCUGGACUGGAGAAUCCACACUGUACACUGGAGAUACUGAGGCACACACACACACACACACACACACACACACACACACACACACACAAACUCACACACACAGAGCAGAAUUUUAAUAAACACAACUACAUAUAGUUUCCAUCUGUGGUGAGUGUAAUUGUAGUGAUGUGAUAUAUUGUCAUUGUUGUGUGUGUGAGAUGGAGAGUAAAUGUUCUUUAUAUAAAGAUUUUGUGUAGUUGAUGUUUUCAGAGCUAAAACUGAGUGUGUUAAGUGUGAGAAGGAUUUUUGUGUUGCAGGAUGAUUAAAUGCAGUAUUACAGAUGAAGGUUUCGCUGCUCUGGCUUCAGCUCUGAGGUCAAACUCCUCAUCACACCUGAGAGAACUGAAUCUGAACGGUAAUAAUCCAGGAGAAUCAGGAGUGAAGCUGCUCUCUGAUCUACUGAAGGAUCCACACUGUAAACUGGAGACAUUAUACAUUAAGGAUAAUAAACUCACCAGGACCGGCGUUUGACAGGAGUCUCACCUCAAACCUCUUCUCCAGGAUAAGGCAGUUUUGGUGAAGAGUUAGAACCCGUCCCACAUUUCCAGCAGUUUGGGAGCUGAAUCAUUAAACUUAAAGGGACAGAGCAGAUAUAAAGUCAAGAACAGGCAGAAGGUCAUACACAGGAGAAAUCAACACACGUAACGAAAUAUCUGCUGUACAAAGCAACGGCAACGAUCUACCCUGGGGAUGGAGACUGACGAUGCUCAAGUACAUGUCUGGUCACAGACUGAUCCCAAAGCACGAGGCAGGAGCAGGCAUGUUAAUGGUAAAUGGUCUGCAGUUAUAUAGCACUUUUUUAACCUUAGUGGUUCCAAAGCACUUUACACUGUUUCACAUUCAUGAGGCUUGUGCCAAAGAGUAGAUGUGAAAAUACAGUGGAAAAUUUCCCUUGCAACCUGCCAACCUUUGCUGUGUCAUGAACACAGUGUCUUCGUCAACCCAGGAGAUGAUUUAGAAAAGUGCCUAUGCAACAGUGUGUUCAGCAUGCAUGGAGGCACUGUAUUUAUACACAGUGUUGCAUGAAAUAACAACAGAAAUAACACAAAUCAAUACCCUCAUGCACAUCUCUCUAAUGGCCUGAUUAGGUCCAUAUCAAUUAUUUCAACUGCAAACUUGAAUAAAGGUAAUGGGCACAAUGGUGCUAUUGGGGUGGCCAUUGGAUUUUGCAGCUGAAAUUAGUAUCCUGGUAACAAUUGCUUCCACAGCUCCUUUUUGAUGUACCAGUCAACUUAACACUACCCAUAUGAGUUG